rnacentral:rRNA from 1 species
UACGGAGGGUGCAAACGUUGCUCGGAAUCAUUGGGCGUAAAGCGCACGUAGGCGGCCUGAUAAGUCGGGUGUGAAAGCCCUGGGCUCAACCCAGGAAGUGCACUCGAAACUGUCAGGCUUGAAUAUGGAAGAGGGUCGCGGAAUUCCCGGUGUAGAGGUGAAAUGCGUAGAUAUCGGGAGGAACACCUGUGGCGAAAGCGGCGCACUGGACCACUACUGACGCUGAUGCGCGAAAGCUAGGGGAGCAAACAGG